rnacentral:misc_RNA from 1 species
GAUGAAGAACGUAGUGAAAUGCGAUAAGUAAUGUGAAUUGCAGAAUUCAGUGAAUCAUCGAAUCUUUGAACGCACAUUGCGCCCGCCAGUAUUCUGGCGGGCAUGCCUGUUCGAGCGUCAUUACAACCCUCAGGCCCCCGGGCCUGGCGUUGGGGAUCGGCGGAAGCCCCCUGCGGGCACGACGCCGUCCCCCAAAUACAGUGGCGGUCCCGCCGCAGCUUCCAUUGCGUAGUAGCUAACACCUCGCAACUGGAGAGCGGCGCGGCCACGCCGUAAAACACCCAACUUCUGAAUGUUGACCUCGAAUCAGGUAGGAAUACCCGCUGAACUUAAGCAUAUCAAUAAGCGGAGGA